UCGGGCGUAGUGUAGGGCACACCUCCGUUUCAUCUGAAAAUCCUCUUUGAUGUGGUAAGCGGAUAUUCCGGGUUCGACUCCCGGCGCCUGAA